rnacentral:rRNA from 1 species
UACGUAGGGGGCAAGCGUUGUCCGGAAUUAUUGGGCGUAAAGAGCGUGUAGGCGGUCCGGUAAGUCAGCUGUGAAAGUCAAGGGCUCAACCCUUGAAAGCCGGUUGAUACUGUCGGGCUAGAGUCCGGAAGAGGCGAGUGGAAUUCCGAGUGUAGAGGUGAAAUUCGUAGAUAUUCGGAGGAACACCAGUGGCGAAGGCGGCGACCUGGGUAGAUACUGACGCUGAGGCGCGAAAGCGUGGGGAGCAAACAGG